rnacentral:lncRNA from 1 species
CCGAGAGCAGACCUGGGAGGACCUGUGUGGCUGAGCAGACCUGGGAGGACCUGUCUGGCCGAGUGGACCCGGGAGGAUCUCCGUGGCUGAGAACGGACCGCUUUGAGUGGACAGUGCUACUGGACCUGGGAGAGGGCGACCAUGUGGACAGUGUGGACACAUGGAAAUGCAGGUGGGUGAUCAUCGUGGAGAAAAACCAGAACAUGUGGGACAGUCCAUCCGUCACAGCCUCAGAAAGAACCCGCCCCGCAGACGCCGCAACCUCACCUGCCCCGCAGAUGCCGUGACCUCUGAUGCACAGCUUCCAGAGCUGAGAGAGAAUUCAUUUCCACUGUUUACCAGGCUGUGGCAUUUCCUUAGGGGCCCACAGCAAGCUAACAGGUGCACAUCUCCACACACACAUGUAUGUAUGUGCCUGUAGGUUCCAAAAGCCAGCUGUGCUCUGGCAUUCUGUUAGUAUGUAACACUGUGUUUGUGCCUUGUUUUUUAAGAAUAGAGAUGGGGUCUUGCUCUAUUGCCCAGGCUGGUCUUGAACUCUUGGCCUCAAGCAAACAAUCCUCCUGCCUUGACCUCCCAAAGUGCAUGAUUAUAGGCAAGGGCCACCCAGGUGGGUGGUGUUUUUUUUU